rnacentral:rRNA from 1 species
CCUACGGGUGGCAGCAGUGGGGAAUAUUGGUCAAUGGGGGCAACCCUGAUCCAGCCAUGCCGCGUGUGUGAAGAAGGCCCUCGGGUUGUAAAGCACUUUCAGUGAGGAAGAACGCCUGGUGGUUAAUACCCAUCAGGAAAGACAUCACUCACAGAAGAAGCACCGGCUAACUCCGUGCCAGCAGCCGCGGUAAUACGGAGGGUGCGAGCGUUAAUCGGAAUUACUGGGCGUAAAGCGCGCGUAGGUGGCUUGAUAAGCCGGUUGUGAAAGCCCCGGGCUCAACCUGGGAACGGCAUCCGGAACUGUCAAGCUAGAGUGCAGGAGAGGAAGGUAGAAUUCCCGGUGUAGCGGUGAAAUGCGUAGAGAUCGGGAGGAAUACCAGUGGCGAAGGCGGCCUUCUGGACUGACACUGACACUGAGGUGCGAAAGCGUGGGUAGCAAACAGGAUUAGAUACCCGAGUAGUC